GCAUGAAGUCGGAAUUGCUAGUAAUCGCGGAUCAGCAUGCCGCGGUGAAUACGUUCCCGGGCCUUGUACACACCGCCCGUCACACCAUGGGAGCCGGUAAUACCCGAAGUCAGUAGUCCAACCACGUGAGGACGCUGCCGAAGGUAGGAUUGGCGACUGGGUGAAGUCGUAACAAGGUAUC
rnacentral:rRNA from 1 species